AUGCAGCGGAUGGCCACGUCAUACUUCAAGGAGAUUUAUACCAAGGAUCCAACUCUAACACCGGAGGGUGUCUUGGAGGGUAUUGCAUCAAAAGUAACUCAAGGUAUGAACAACCUCUUAUGUGCUCCCUUCUCGAAGGAGGAGGUGUCUAAUGCCCUCUUUCAAAUCGGUCCUCUUAAAGCACUGGGGACAAACGACCUUCCGAGUAGGUUCUUCCAACGGAAUUGGGUCGUGUUGAAAUCUGAAAUUAUUGCUACUGUUUUGGAGUUCUUUAAGUCGGGUAUAAUGCCUGAUGGGGUGAACGACACGGCUAUUGUUCUUAUCCCGAAAAUUCCAUUCCCAAAGGAACUCAAGGAUUUUAGACCGAUAAGCCUAUGCAACGUCAUUUACAAGAUUGUUUCAAAGCUUCUCCAAAACAGGCUAAGGCCGAUGCUUGUGGAGUUAAUUUCAGAGAAUCAGAGUGCCUUUAUCCCAGGAAGGCUUAUCUCUGACAAUUCUAUAAGUGCUUUUGAAUGUCUUCAUCAUAUAUAG
rnacentral:rRNA from 1 species